rfam:Oryza sativa Japonica Group DNA, chromosome 9, cultivar: Nipponbare, complete sequence.
AAUAAAUGCAGUUUUGCACUAUUCACAUUUAACGUUUGACCGUUUGUCUUAUUUAAAAUUUUUUUAAUAUUUCUAUUGCUAUUAGAUGAUAAAACAUGAAUAGUACUUUAUGUGUGACUAAAUAUUUUUAAAUUUUCACAAAUUUUUUAAAUAAGACGGACGGUCAAACGUUGGGCUCGGAUAUCCACGGCUGUACUUAUU